UACUGCUUUGUCGUUAGAUGCCCAAGGCCACCUUCGUGGGCACACGACCCGAGCAGUCACACAGGACCCUGUGAUCAGAAUGGCCUCACUUGGGUUUAAUACUCUGCUGUCUUCAUCUUAAAAUUCUUAAUAAUUUAAUGUUUGAGCCCGUGCUUUGUAAGUGAAGUCUGAUGGAACAACGGAGCAUGCGCGUGAGUAGAGGAGAUACAGACGAUACGUGUGUCUGAGUUUUUUGUGGCUCCAUUAGCAUAUGGUGUUGAUGAUGCCCCCUGAGCACAGAAUUCUGGUGAGCCCACAAUGCAUGGGAGUUCAGCGAGAUUCAAUGCCAGUACAAGGUCCACUUUUGGAAACUCCCAUCAUGCCUCCUGCCUAUGGAUCAUCUCUUUGGCUGAGAACCGAGCUAACUCACUCAAGAUCCCAAUUAGUGACUCCUCAUGAGAUGGAAGUAAUUCUCCGGCAUCGUCCUCAUUUGAUUUCAGAAAAUCCAGCAGUUCUGGACUUCACAGUUGCACCACACGGUAUUGGGCUGUGGUCUGCUUCCUGGCAACCAAAGGGCAGGACAUAGCCAACCAUACAACUGCAGAGAUCCACAGAGCUACCGUUUGAGGAAUAAGGAACCCUGUACAUAGCCAGGGGCAUUCUAAAAUCCCCAAACUUGAAUCCUACUUCCGACUUUGCUAGGACACCGCAGGAAUUACCAUCAAAGAAGGAAAAAGAUGCACAGAAGUUUCCCAUUCGACAGCUACGAUUCUACAACCCCAUAGUCUUUCUAAACCACAGGCUGCAUUUUCCAUUUUGUUUUGCUGUGUUUUCCUUCAUGCGCCUAACUCCGGAGGCAGAGUUCUGCCCCUACAAAGCCACAUUCAUGUCAUCAUUCCAAAACUCACAACUCCUGAAAACUUUGAGGAAUGUUAUUAGGCCCUGUAGGCCAGAAGGGCCGUUUCCAGGGUAACAGCAACUCCACACUAAGGAAGAAAGGCAUUUCCCUUCCUAUGCUCCUCUCAGAGUUCAGGCCACUACAGAGAAACCCAUGCCCUGAGCCUGAGGGACACUUCCUGUGGCCCUUAUGCAACCAGCCCAGCACCCACCCCAAGGACACACAGCCAGCCCCUGCGCACUGGAAGGCCACACUUCCUGCCCCCGAUAUCUCAUGUUGAUCUCCUGCCAUAAAUCUACCCAUGCCUGUCCGUCAGCACGUCCCAAUCUGUGGUCUGGAAAAGUCAGCAUAGAUGUGAGAAGAACUCCUGCACAGGCAUUUGUUUUUCCAGCCGCCUGGCUUUUGUUUUGAGCAAGGUGGAAAUGAAAACUGUCUCUAAGGGAGAGAACGCUCCCUCCAGGUGCUUGAGUGACUCCAGGCCCAGAGAGCUUAACCGUGCCCCUUUCACCUUGGCCUGGGUCCUUCUUGACUGAAUAAGACACAUUUCCGCCAUCUAAUAAGGAAACUUGGAAAUGAGGAAGGAGGCCCGCAGGGGAUAUCUGGGAUGCCCUGUCCAUGAAUGGACACUCCCUCCUGGCCAGCUUGCCCACCCUCCAGGCCACAGUUUGCACACUGUUUGUCUCCCCGAGAAGAGCUACCCCUCCCUCCCUGGCUUAUGCUGGGCUUUGUGCGAGAUGGACCCUGAGAUGGUGACUGGUGUAUAGGAUCCUGAUUGGAGGCUGCUGUCAGGAACAAUGCCUGUGAGGGAGAAAGGGCUGCAGGAUGGGGCAGAGGGAGAAGCUGAACUACAGUGCAGUUGCAACAGAGGCCUCAGUCAACUCCAAGCUCUCCUCCCCAUGCUGUUUGCCGGGGACAGCCAAGGAUUCCCGUGCCAGCUGGGCUCCCACACGGCUCGACUGUUCCUGCACCAGAUGGCCAGACCAACACCCUCUGGCUGCCGCACGCUCCCUGGGAGACGAGGCUCUGACGUCUAUCAGCCUGGCUUUUUGUGCACAGGGACGCCGGGGUCAGGGAUUACAGGGCCAAUCACAUUACACUAAAAAUCUCUGCACAGCGUAAAGAUUUCCAAAUCCCAGUGGUUAUCAGUGUAACCAACAAGGCAGGGAAACUGUUUCUAUAGCCUUAACUUUCACUGCUCUUUUCACAAAUAUCAGUUGAAUGCCUCCGUGGUCUGAGGGAUGCAAUGGUAAACAAGACAGUCCCUACCCUCAAGCUAGUUAUAGUCUACUGGGGUAUAGGUUAGGUAACCAUAUCAUUUAUUGUUCAAACUAGGACACUUUUGAGAAAGUAAAAGGGGUGUUUUUAUCGUUAAACCAGGGUAGUAGGCAUAAAUAAGGAGGUGUUCCAGGCAAACCAGGAUGUUUGGGCACCCCAGAUAGAGACACAGCAUGACCAAAAUGGGGGGGAGUUCAGGUCAUGGGGGCAUAGUACUGUUAGGUGGCGCCACAAGAUGGCGCAAUUGAAAUACUCGUAGCUUUUCUUUGUUUUUGUUUUCUCUCUUGAAAACUAAUUUUUCUUUCCAUUGCCACAGAGCCAGUAGAACCCUUCCAUGGUGUGCUGGAGCCAAAGGGUACUGGUUUGUGAGAUCAGAUCAUCAAAUUUUCAGGAAUUUUUGCCAAUUGGUUACUAAGCAUAGCCAUUAAUAAAAAUUAAAAGAAGUAAAAUAAAAAAUAGAAUUAUAAUUAAAAUAAUUAAAAUUUAAAAUGGAGUAAGUCAUAUUAAAAACAAAGGUAAUAAAUACUGAAAACUCACACCUUCCUGACUGCUUUGCUACAGUUUACUAUUAUUUACUCUCAUGAGGUUAUUUACCCUUUCAUGACUGUGUGGUAGAAAUACUAUGUAAAAGGCAGGGCAUGGUGGCUCACACCUGUAAUCACAGCACUUUGGAAAGCUGAGGCAGGUGGAUCACGAGGUCAGGAGUUCGAGACCAGCCUGGCCAACAUAAUGAAACCCCCUCUCUACUAAAAAUACAAAAAUUAGCCAGGUGUGGUGGCGGGCACCUGUAGUCCCAGCUACUCUGGAGGCUGAGGCAGGCGAAUCGCUUGAACCCGGGAGGCGGAGGUUGUAGUGAGCUGAGACCACACCAUUGCACUCCAGCCUGGGUGAGAGGGUGAGACUCUGUGUCAAAAAAAAAAAGAAAAAAGAAAGAAAUACUAUGUAAUGCUGUGUCCGUGUCUUUUCAACUCCAUGGUCAGCACCAUCACGUGGGCAGCUUGAGACUGGCUGUGGUGGGAGUAUUUGCAUCAUGGAAAUCAGCAGAUACUACAAGUCAGGGCUUGGGGGGCAGGGAGCCAGUUGUUAAACAUUUACUAGCACAUCACCAGAAUCAUCAUUUAAGUUCAAUAAUUUAUGUGGCUGAUUUCAUGUACUCUGGGCAGUUCUAUCACAUUCCC
rnacentral:lncRNA from 10 species